rnacentral:rRNA from 1 species
GACGAACGCUGGCGGCGUGCUUAACACAUGCAAGUCGAACGGAAAGGCCCUGCUUUUGUGGGGUGCUCGAGUGGCGAACGGGUGAGUAACACGUGAGUAACCUGCCCUUGACUUUGGGAUAACUUCAGGAAACUGGGGCUAAUACCAGAUAGGAGCUCCUGCUGCAUGGUGGGGGUUGGAAAGUUUCGGCGGUUGGGGAUGGACUCGCGGCUUAUCAGCUUGUGGGUGGGGUAGUGGCUUACCAAGGCUUUGACGGGUAGCCGGCCUGAGAGGGUGACCGGCCACAUUGGGACUGAGAUACGGCCCAGACUCCUACGGGAGGCAGCAGUGGGGAAUAUUGCACAAUGGGCGGAAGCCUGAUGCAGCAACGCCGCGUGCGGGAUGACGGCCUUCGGGUUGUAAACCGCUUUCGCCUGUGACGAAGCGUGAGUGACGGUAAUGGGUAAAGAAGCACCGGCUAACUACGUG